GAUUAACGCUGGCGGCGUGCCUAACACAUGCAAGUCGAGCGGCAGCGAGUUUUACACUGAAUUCUGGAAGCUUCUAGUUGAAAGAGAAGAUUUAUUCAAGAAUUUUGUGUAAAAUGUCGGCGAGCGGCGGACGGCUGAGUAACGCGUGGGAACGUACCCCAAAGUGAGGGAUAACGCAUCGAAAGGUGUGCUAAUACCGCAUAUGGUCUUCGGAUUAAAGCCUUCGGGCGCUUUGGGAACGGCCUGCGUAAGAUUAGAUAGUUGGUGGGGUAAUGGCCUACCAAGUCGACGAUCUUUAACUGGUUUGAGAGGAUGAUCAGUCAGACUGGAACUGAGACACGGUCCAGACUCCUACGGGAGGCAGCAGUGAGGAAUCUUCCACAAUGGGCGAAAGCCUGAUGGAGCAACGCCGCGUGCAGGAUGAAGGCAUUCGGGUUGUAAACUGCUUUUAUAUGUGAGGAUUAUGACAGUAACUUAUGAAUAAGGAUCGGCUAACUACGUG
rnacentral:rRNA from 1 species